rnacentral:rRNA from 1 species
GCUCCCGCUAUGGGAUGAGCCUAUGUCGGAUUAGCUAGUUGGUGAGGUAACGGCUCACCAGGGCCACGAUCCGUAGCUGGUCUGAUAGGAUGAUCAGCCACAUCGGGACUGAGACACGGCCCGAACUCCUACAGGAGGCAGCAGUGGGGAAUAUUGGACAAUGGGGGAAACCCUGAUCCAGCCAUGCCGCGUGUGUGAAGAAGGCCCUCGGGUUGUAAAGCACUUUCAGCGAGGAAGAACGCCUAGCGGUUAAUACCCGCUAGGAAAGACAUCACUCGCAUAAGAAGCACCGGCUAACUCCGUGCCACCAGCCGCGGUAAUACGGAGGGUGCAAGCGUUAAUCGGAAUUACUGAGCGUAAAGCGCGCGUACGUGGCUUGAUAAGCCGGUUGUGAAAACCCCGGGCUCAACCUGGGAACGGCAUCCGGAACUGUCAAGCUAGAGUGCAGGAGAGGAAGGUAGAAUUCCCGGUGUAGCGGUGAAAUGCGUAGAGAUCGGGAGGAAUACCAGUGGCGAAGGCGGCCUUCUGGACUGACACUGACACUGAGGUGCUAAAGC